GAUAUGGCUCAGGACGAACGCUGGCGGCACGCUUAACACAUGCAAGUCGAACGAGAGAAGAGAAGCUUGCUUUUCUGAUCUAGUGGCGGACGGGUGAGUAACACGUGAGCAAUCUGCCUUUCAGAGGGGGAUACCGAUUGGAAACGAUCGUUAAUACCGCAUAAUAUAAUUGAACCGCAUGAUUUGAUUAUCAAAGAUUUAUCGCUGAAAGAUGAGCUCGCGU
rnacentral:rRNA from 1 species